CAACGGAUCUCUUGGUUCUGGCAUCGAUGAAGAACGCAGCGAAAUGCGAUAAGUAAUGUGAAUUGCAGAAUUCAGUGAAUCAUCGAAUCUUUGAACGCACRUUGCGCCCCUUGGUAUUCCGGGGGGCAUGCCUGUUCGAGCGUCAUUGCAACCCUCAAGCUCUGCUUGGUAUUGGGCGUCCGCGGCCUCCUCCGGGGGGCGGCGCGCCCGUAAGUUAGUGGCGGUCCAGGGAGACUUCAAGCGCAGUAGAACCUUUCGCUUUCGAGGUGUCGUCUGCGGCCCGGCCGUAAAACCCCCCAUCUUUCAAUGAUUGACCUCGGAUCAGGUAGGGAUACCCGCUGAACUUAAGCAUAUCAAUAA
rnacentral:rRNA from 1 species